rnacentral:rRNA from 1 species
UACGAAGGGGCUAGCGUUGCUCGGAAUCACUGGGCGUAAAGGUGCGUAGGCGGGUCUUUAAGUCAGGGUGAAAUCCUGGAGCUCAACUCCAGAACUGCCUUUGAUACUGAAGAUCUUGAGUUCGGGAGAGGUGAGUGGAACUGCGAGUGUAGAGGUGAAAUUCGUAGAUAUUCGCAAAGAACACCAGUGGCGAAGGCGGCUCACUGGCCCCCGAUACUGACGCUGAGGCACGAAA